AUUGAACGCUGGCGGCAUGCCUUACACAUGCAAGUCGAACGGCAGCGCGGGGCAACCUGGCGGCGAGUGGCGAACGGGUGAGUAACAUAUCGGAACAUACCCUAGAGUGGGGGAUAACGUAGCGAAAGUUACGCUAAUACCGCAUACGCACUAAGGUGGAAAGUGGGGGAUUCGCAAGAACCUCAUGCUCAUGGAGUGGCCGAUAUCUGAUUAGCUAGUUGGUGAGGUAAAGGCUCACCAAGGCGACGAUCAGUAGCUGGUUUGAGAGAACGACCAGCCACACUGGAACUGAGACACGGUCCAGACUCCUACGGGAGGCAGCAGUGGGGAAUUUUGGACAAUGGGGGGCAACCCUGAUCCAGCAAUGCCGCGUGAAGUGAAGAAGG
rnacentral:rRNA from 1 species